UCUCUGGUAGUCCAGUAGUCAGGACUCCGUGCUUUCUUUGCUGAGGGCCCGGGUUCAAUCCCUGGUCAGGGAA
rnacentral:tRNA from 1 species